rnacentral:misc_RNA from 1 species
GAUGAAGAACGUAGCGAAAUGCGAUAAGUAGUGUGAAUUGCAGAAUUCAGUGAAUCAUCGAAUCUUUGAACGCACAUUGCGCCCAUUGGUAUUCCAUGGGGCAUGCCUGUUCGAGCGUCAUUUGUACCUUCAAGCUUUGCUUGGUGUUGGGUGUUUGUCCUGAGGGACUCGCCUUAAAGUAAUUGGCAGCCAGUGUUUGGUUUUGAAGCGCAGCACAAGUCGCGAUUCAAAGCUAUACGCCCGCUUCCACAAGCCUUUUUCACUUUUGACCUCGGAUCAGGUAGGGAUACCCGCUGAACUUAAGCAUAUCAAUAAGCGGAGGA